GGGGGAGUCGUUUAACGGCAGGACCGCUGGCCUGCAACCAGCAGAUGGGGGUUCAACUCCCUCCUCUUCCACCA
rnacentral:tRNA from 1 species